GGAGCAAAAGGUUUGCAUUUGACUACAAAUCUAAAUGUUGGUGGUUCAAACCCACCC
rnacentral:tRNA from 1 species